rnacentral:piRNA from 1 species
UCCCUUUUGAUACAAUUUUAACUGCUAAC